CUUGGUUUAUCUUGCUAGCAGUCAUCUGCUUGUCUCAAAGAUUAAGCCAUGCAUAAGUAUGAACUAAUUCAGACUAUGAAAUUACGAAUGGCUUAUUAAAUUAGUUAUAGUUUGUUUGAUGGUAUCUACUACUUGGAUAACCAUAGCAAUUUUAGAGUUAAUAUGUGCAACAAACAUUGGCUUCUAGAAGAGAUACAUUUAUUAGAUAAAAGGUUGAUGUGAGUUUUGCCCAUUGCUCUGAUGAUUCAUGAUAACUCAAUAGAUCACAUGGCCUUUAUGCCGAUAAUGCAUCAUUCAAAUUUUUGCCCUAUCAAUUGUAGAUGAUAGGAUAAUGGCUUACUAUGGUGGUAAUGGAGAAUUAGGGUUUGAUUUUUGAGAAAGAGCUUGAAAAAUAGCUACCACAUCAAAGGAAGGUAGUAGGCACACAAGUUAUCCAAUCUUGACAUGGGAAGGUUAUGACAAUAAACAAUAAUACCAGUUAUAAGUCUAGUAGUUGGAAUGAGUCAAAUCUAAAUCACUUAACAAGGAUCCAUUGGAUGGCAAGUCUGAUGCCUAUAGUCAUAGUAAUUCCAACUCCAAUGGCAUAUAUUUAAGUUGUUGUAGUUAAAAAGCUCAUAGUUGGAACUAGGGCUAAGUCAUCCGAUUUGCCUCACGAUAAGCAUUGGUUUACUCAUCCCUACUAUUGGUGAUGCACUCCUGCCUUAAAUGGCUAGGUCAUUUCUCUGACACUGUUACUUUAAAGAAAUUAUAGUGCUCAAAGUAGGCCUACACUUGUAUAUGUUAGCAUGGGAUAACAUCAUAAGAUUUUAGUCUUAUUGUGUUGGCCUUUGGGAUCAAAGUAAUGAUUAAUGGGGACAAUCGAGGGCAUUCAUAUUUUAUAGUUAGAGGUGAAAUUUUUGGAUUUAUGAAAGAUAAACAACUGUGAAAGCAUUUUCCAAAGAUGUUUUCAUUAAUCAAGGAUGAAAGUUGGGGGCUCAAAGAUGAUCAAAUACUAUCCUAGUUUUAACUAAAAAUGAUGCCAAAGAUUACUUUUAGCACUCACUAGCACCUUAUGAGAAAUCAAAGUCUUUGGGUUUCAGGGGGAGUAUAGUCAUAAGGUUGAAACUUAAAGGAAUUGAUGGAAGGGCACCACUAAAGAGUGGAGCCUGCAACUUAAUUUGACUCAACAAGGGAAAACUUACUAUGUCCAAACAAUAUAAGCAUUGACAAACUAAGAGCUCUUUCUUAAUUCUAUAGGUGGUGGUGCAUGGCCAUUCUUAGAUGGCGGAGCAAUUUAUCUAGUUAAUUCUGUUAAUGAAUGAGACCAUAGCCUACUAAUUAGCUAUGCAGAGCUGAUCCUUCAUGGCUAGCUUCUUAGAGGGACUAUGGCUACUUAAGCCAAGGAAAUUUGAGGCAAUAACAGUUUUUUGAAUCCUUUAGAUGUUUUGGCUGCAUGCACACUACACUGAUGUAUUCAACAAGUCUAUAGCCUUGAUUGAUAGGCUUGGGUAAUCUUUGAAAUUUCAUCAUGAUAGGGAUAGAUCAUUACUAUUGUUGGUCUUCAACAAGGAAUUCCUAGUAAGUAUAAGUCAUCAUCUUGCAUUGACUACAUUCUUGCCCUACCAAUUGAAUAGUUCAUCAAAGUGUUCAGAUCAUGGCAAUGUGGAUGGUUUACUGCCCAUAAUGUCAUGAGAAGUCCACAAAACCUUACCAUUUCUAGGAAAGAGAAGUCGUAACAAGGUUUUUGUAGGUGAACCUAUAGAAG
rnacentral:rRNA from 1 species